AGCAAAUAAUGCAUUGGCUGAUACAGUGAGCAAGGAGAGUGGAAAUUGUUCUGUUUGUGAGAAGGAGGAUUGUUUAAGCAUGGAUAGUUUUGUUAGGCCAAAAAUUUUGAUUCAUGGAAUGUCAGAUGUGGAACUGUUUUGGAGAGCUUCGUUAGAGCCUUACAAGAAAGAGUUCCCAUUUAAGAGAGUGCCUAAAGUGGCUUUUAUGUUCUUGACAAGGGGAGAGUUACCAUUUAUACCAUUGUGGGAGAGGUUCUUUCAAG
rnacentral:misc_RNA from 1 species